rnacentral:lncRNA from 1 species
AAAAACUUGUAGAAGAAUUCCCAAGCCUUGCUCCUAUUGUGUCUCUGCCUCCUUAGGUCAAAUGUAUGUCAAAAAUAUGUCCAAUCUUCAAAAAAAUCAUUUUCCAUGUAUAUAUACCAAGUAGGGUUGGGAACAAACACUUAUACCUUCUCCUACGCAAAAAGGACAAGUUUUAGGCCUGGAUGUCCGGAGUUCUACCGUGGUCGUGCCCGGGCCGCGGCCAGAAUGGCCUGCAGAAUCUGCAACAGUGUUCUGCCGCGGUCCUACCGUGGUUUACGGUUUCGACUGCAUCUUUUACCGUGUUCCUCUUGGAAUUAGAACAGAUGUAAAACAAGAAAGUUGUAGACCUUUGAGGUUUCUUUCCAGAAAUAUAUUAUGAGCCAAAUAGAGUUCUGAGCAAAACGUUAUGUGCAAUUUACUAGACAGUGCACAAUAUGCUUUAUCAAGUCUUCGUUUUGUUGUUUUAUCAUCCGUUGAUCCCCGAAUACGAUUCCGGCUUAAUUCCUUGGGCUUUUACUCAGAUUUCAAAGCUCCAAAUCACUUGAAUUCAUUCCAUAACAUAUAUAUAACUCGAAAUCGCUCCUACAAGGCAUAAAACACAUCGUUAGUGCAAAACACUAGCGAUUAAAGUGCAAACUCAACUAAAGUGCAGUAAAUUAGAGUAUAAUAAUCGACUAAAAUACAUAAUUAUAGUUGAUCAUCAACAGACCACAUUUACACCAUUGCUCGUCCUCGAGCAAUCAAACUACACUUUUUAUAGACAUGGCAUUUUUAAAUAAUUCUCCUAACUUAACACACCAAGAGUAUUUAAUAUAGACUCAGCACAAAAGCGUAACAUCUUCAUCUCAAGAUUUGACUCACAAGUACCACGCAUUAUUCACAACUCACCUACUUACUCUAACAUAGAGGUCAUUGACAUUACCUUUUCUUCAUAAAUCAAGUGCCCUCACACAACAAAAUAGAGUAGUUCCACAUAAUAAAAUUUAAGAAUACUUAGGAACUCAAGAUAGAAAGAAUUCACCCACUCUCAAAAUUAACAUUCAUAUUACACAAAAGAUGCACCAUAAGCUUGUCCGUAGUGUACUACUCCACUAAUCGAGCUCAUUCAAUCUAGGAUCAACUAGGACUUUAUUUGGUUGUAAUUUAGGCUACGGGAUGUGUAUGAUACAUUUAGAUAUACGAGUGACUACACCUCCCUAAGCACUUUAAUACAUACAUUUUAACAUUUAAACCCCACUCUUACGUCAAACCAAACUCCACAUUCACAUCAAUAUACAUCAACUCCCAAAUUAUUGAAGCACAAUUAUAUCAAGAAUCACCACUAUUAAAGAAUAUUUAUUUUUUCACAACAAUACAACUAUAUUAUUUAUUUCUUUCUUUUCUUUUUCAAUUCAAGUGGCUCUUGCUUUUCAAAUCAAUGCACUCUUUCUCCUUGUUUUAUUAGUUCCACUCAAAAGCCAAACCAACCACCCCGCACUUUAACUUUUACAAAGUUCAUAAACAAUUCAAGUGCUCAUGAGAUGAUAUAAUGGUUCAAAUAGAUGGUUAAUUCAAAUAAAUGGGUAAUGCUUGUAAUGUGGUUGCCAAUGAAAUAAUAUUACAGGCUCAAAUGGGUUAACUAUGAUAUAUGUUGAGUUGUCCUACAUCGGAGGGAUUUGAGGUCCUUGGUCUCCAUAUAUGGCUUGGGAAAUCCCCACCUCAUAAGGUAGCUUUUGGGGUUGAGUUAGUCCCAAGGUCCAUUCUUUUCAUGGUAUCAGAGCCAGACCCAUCCCAAUUAUUGUUACCGAUGUUAGAGCCAGGCCCAUCCCAAUUAUUGUUACCGAUGUUGGGCCCCCAUUUAUGUUGUCCACGCUCCGGAGAUCUGGGCGUGAAGGGGGUGUUGAGUUGUCCCACAUCGGAGGGAUUUGAGGUCCUUGGUCUCCUUAUGUGGAUUGGAAAAUCCUCACCUAAUAAGCUAGCUUUUGUGGUUGAGUUCGGCCCAAGGUUCAUUCUUUUCGAUAUAUAGCAAUUAGGUGGGUAAAAUAUACAUAUUUUAGUUCUUAUAUAACUAAGAUAAUUUUUUGCAUAUUUUUAUAAAUUUAUUUAGUAUUUUAAGGUAAAUUGCAUAUAAUUGUAAUAUUAGUCAUUUUAAGAUUCAAUUAUGUUUUAUAUUCCUAAAAUUAAGUUAUGUAUUUUUAAAUUAUUAAUUAUAUAUUAUAAAUCAUUUUAGUUCUUUCAAUUAGUUUUCAGAAUUUAUUUAUUAUCUUUUAUAAAUUAAAUGGGGAAAAGGGACUAUUUAACGUAUAGCCAAAUUUUGCUUUCUAAUUUAGCCUACAUAUAACCCAAUACCCAACUCCAAUUAAACCAACCCAAUACCCAAUCAUAAUUUACCCGACCCACAGCCAAUUUAAAUGACCCACCCCGCUCCCCGUAUAAUUUAGGCUGUUGAUCAAACUGAUCAACGGCCACAUUUCAACCUUACCAUUUUUAAUUACCCAUUACCCCUCCCCCCCUCCCCAAACCCUACUCAUUUGACAUUACUCUCUCGAAGCUUUUCAAGCCCUGGCCGCCUACCACCAUUUUCGCCUGAAGGACACCGGAAUACAUGGCUUCCAAGGCUAUGGAAAUCCUAUACCCGCCUUCUACGGCUCAUACACGCCUAGUUUUUGAAGAUUCAAAUCCUGAUAAUGACAAAGUUUGGCCAGGCUCCGAUUGAUUCGAGUUCUACGACCAUAUCCGGCCUUGCUCCGGCGUGCCAUGGCUGUUCGAGCCUGAUUUUGACUUCUCCGGCUUAGCUCAGUGACUUUUCCAAGCCUUUCUCACUAUUGGGGUUCUUCUGAAACCCUAACCCUUCGAGGUUUUUCCGAUUUCUUUAGAUCCGUUAUAUAUUUGUGUUUCUCUGAGUUCUUAAGCAUUUUUCUCAAAGUCCUUUUAAAACUACACCUCCCGAACCUUAAUCUUUUUCCGAUCUAGGGUUUCGUCAAGUUGUCCUUUAAAAUUUCUCUAAUCUUUAGCAUGUUUUACUGUAUUUCUUGUCACACCUCCUUUUUACACAUACCUACCCCGAAGGAUAAAGUAUAAGGGAGAUUUUCCAAUUAAAGUAACAUUAUUCGAAUCGGGAUUAUUUAUUUAUUUAGAGUCUCCACUUGGGGUAGGUUUGGAUUUUGGUGUCCCAAGUCACCGAUUUAUCUUGAAUCCCAAUUCGAGGAAAAUAUUCGACAUUUCAAGUGAAGUUUGCGAACCAGAAAUUCUAAGUAAGGAAUUCUGUUGACACCAGGGAAGGUGUUAAGAACCCCCAGAUCCCGUGGUUCUAUCAUGGUCGCUUAAACUAUUAUAAUAUGCUAAACAUUUGAUUUUAAUACAUGUUUCAAUUUAAAGUGCAAUUUUCAAUUACUUGCCGCUUUAAAUUAAAUUUUAGGAAUUUGCAACAUUAUUAAAAUACAUCUCGAACCACGUUGUAUCAAUGCACCCGUGAUAUUUGACAUAUUCUAAUGCCGAUGAGAUUUGGAUUUUAGUCACAUAAAUAUGCACCUGGGUUUAAGAAGGUAAUAUUAUUAAAUGCCAGACCUAUAGCAACUAGCAUAUUAUUAACUUUGUGAGAGGCCAUGAAAUUCGGUAAAUGGCACGUCCCGAGAUCUAAAUAUUUUUUAAAUAAGUAAUUAAAGAGGGCCAUGCAAUUUGUGAUUUUUUAUUUGGCGCGGCACAACUCAUUUAUUUUAAAGGCCGUCCAAAAGGGACUAUAUUUUCUAUUAAGUAUUGUCUCUAAAAUGGCAUUAAUUAAUUAGCAUUAUUGAUUACUAUUAUUAAAAGUAUUCAAGGAAUUUGGGCCUCAAGUUCAAGUACACAUUUAAACAAAAGGAAAGCAUCUUUAGCAGAUUGGGUGGUCAUAUAACUGGACAGACCAUCUCAAUGAAGUAUCCAAACUUUGGGCCCAAAAUGAGCCCAAUUAAAAGUGAGGGGAGAAUGUUCAGGGAUAGGAACAUGGCUAUUCUUCAGCAAGGCCUACGUUGAACCCAAUACAAUUAUUUGUGUUCCUAGAGUUUGAUAUCCGUUUUUAACUUAUGAACCAUUGAACGGGCAACCAUUUUUAGAAUUUGAGACAAUUUAGCCUUAACAACUUGACACAUACAACAACUAAAUGAUUCAAAAUGAAUAUGCAAUGACAACCAUUUGACUAUUCAUGAUUCACCCGAAUAACCAAACCAAAAUUGGAUCAUACUAUGUGUGAAAACAAACGACUUAAUGUUCCAAUCCAUAUGCUGAUUUUAAAUCUAUAUUUCAUGCUUGGCUCUGGAUUUGUUUACUAAAAAAAAUGCUGUUGUAAAGGCUUAAUUCCAGAACUGUGUUUAAACCUACGUGAGUCAUUGAUAAAUUCCUGUGAACAUAGAUUUAACUAUGAUUCAAUAUUUAUUAACAUGGCAUCAAAUUCUGAAUGAAAUUGAGUUAUACUAAAGCUGUACUAAACAACUGUAUUAGAUAGUCUUAUUAAGACAAACUAACAAAACUAACAGUCCAAUUACAAUGGUCUAAAUGCAGCCCAGUUUUAACUACAGAAGUCAAACAUCAACUGCUAACACGUGAACUAACAUUCAGUUAUUCAGUCCAGUGAUACAGUCCAUCUACAUUCAAUCAAUAUCAAAUACUAUUACUACCUAAUCUAACAUGUGAAUUAAUGUGUACAGAAGUAGGCUAAACAUGAAGUUGACAUGAGUAGUUUUUCAUUUAUUCAACAAUCCGGAUAUACUUAUGGAUUUAGUCCUUCAUACAUUAUUUGAAUUGAAGAAUAUCUGAAAUUAAGGCAAAAUGAGAGGAGGAGGAGGAGGAGUGAUCAGCUGCAACAGAAUAAGAGCAGAUGCAUAAACUUCAGCAGGAAGCAGCAAAAUCACAUCCAAAACCCAGGGAAUCGAUUCAGGCAAAUGACACUAGUAAAUGACCAAAACUAAAUUCCAAUUAAACUCAAACAGACUUGGAAAUGAACCCAGGAAAGCUUCUGAACUUCAGCAAUCAGAAAUAUCCCUAUCUAGGCUAGAAGAUGCAAAUUAACAGCUAAAACUCGAAAUUAACCUAAGAGUUUCAAUAGAAUAGUAUUUUUGGAGUUUUUACUUUUUGGUUUUAGAAUGUUUAAGAUCUAGAAGGAUUUCAAAUUUGGGUUUUUUAAAUUUGACAAAUUCGAAUUUCAGAUUUCAAAACCUGUAGAAACUUUUUGGGGGAAUUUUCAGAUGCCAAACUUGUUAAACACGGCAGUGGGGACUAUCUUUUAUAGGCAAAAUUGAGGAAAAGUUUCAGAUGUUUGUUUCACAUCUUUAUUCUCUCUUUUAUUUUCAGUUUUUAGCUGAUUAGACCUUCAUUUUCUGACUUGUUUCUCAAGUUACUUUACUAAGUUAUUGAUAUUUCAAUUAAAGUCCUAUUCUAGAAGAUUCUAGCUUCACCUACAACAUUGUUUUCUACCUAAGAAUGCCUAUACUACCCUUUAUUUAGUCUGAAAUUUCACUAACCUAGUACUAACUAAACCCCAGCCCCCCUUACUAACCAUGGUUAACUAAAUAAAAGUCUGGACUAUUUAGCUAUAACCAAAACAAUUUCAAGAACUUAUUCCAUUUAAUACUAAACAAAACUGAAAAUUAAUCCUAGUUCAUACUACUAUCGAACUAUCAAUUAAACAAAAUUAAUAAUCAACCACAAAAUUGAAAAAAACACAAGACCCUAUUAAUAUUACCGGGCCAUGAAUCAAACUAAAUUGACAUCAAUUCUAAGAAUACUAAAAAUAUAAACAGAAAAAUCAAGAUUAACUAAACUAAUCAAAAAAUGAACAAUCAAAGACUAGGAACUAAACACUAGCAGCAAAGUCCAACAAAAUCAAGUAAACUAAACCUAAACUAAAAAAAUCAAAAAUAACGCAAAACAGAAUCAUCAAACAAAAAAUAUAAAAUAUAAUACGAAGUACAACUCACUGAUUUUGGUCUUCAACUGGGCUGACCUCGAAUUUGAUUUUCAAUUAAUGUUAUAUGUUUAUUUUGUCCGAAAUAGACAUAUAACAUUAAUUAAAAAUCACUCGAACAAUUGAAACUCCCAAAACAUGUUGAAAUUUCGAGCCCUAGAUAUGAAAUUCAUGGGGUUUUACUUAGAUUUGAAGGGUUUUGGUUUGAGAUUUGGGAUGAUGAAGUCAAAGAGGCUAUAUGGUGUAGUUUUGGUCGAAUUUGGAGGAGUUAGGGUUUUGGUCGGAAUCUUUGAUUCAAGAUUCGACGACUUUGAUGGGAUUCGAGGGAAAGGGUUGGGGAUUUAAAAAGAGGAGGGUGAAGGGAUGCUAUGGUCUAAUUUUUAAGGUUAUUGGAGACACGCUGGCGGUAGAGGCGAUUUUCGGCAGACGACAGAAGGUGGCGGAGACGAGAAAGGGGUCUUUACGGUUCUAGAGAAACGAAAUGUGAGGGAACUUCUCAACCAUCAGAUCAACAAACAUAGACGGUUGAGAUUGAAUCUGGGCUAAACGGCAUCAUUUUCGGCAUGGCCAAGACUGGACUGGGUUGGGGGUU